UCCAACCUGGGCAACAGGACCAAAACUCAGUCGGGGCGGGGCCGGGGGGAGAAUUUUCCCUUUUGUUUUCUGUAAAUACGGUUUAGAAGUUGUCAGCAUCCUUCGCUUGUCGGGCUGUGAACUGGAUGACCCAGACACCUGCCCAGCAGACGGAGAGGCCCUAGAACUCGGCAGGGGACAGGUUACUUUAAAAUGUAAUUUUCUGGCAUCCUGCAUGGCUCCUCCCUGUUUCCAUCAUGCACUGAGGUAAAUAAUAGAAAUACUUGGAAAAAACUUGGAUUUUCCAAAGUUCUGUGGUCCUCCCUCACUGUCAUAGGCAUUCGGUCCCCGACAGGUGGUCCCGCAGAAUCCUCGCGGAAGUAAACCAUGGACACUGGCGCCUGCGUCCAGGGAAGCCUCAGCCGAGGCACCUCAGUGUGAUUUGAACGUGGGGUCCAGGGGCCUGGCCUCUGUGGGGGCUGCCAUGGGGGCUGCCGUGGAGGAGAAACUCCUCAGAGUUCAUGGCGCAGCCCCACUUGCUGGUACCUGGGUGGACACCGAUCGGGGGAGAGAACUGAACUUCGGGGUCUGACACCGUCUGUUGAUCUGAAGUGUUUAACUCAUGGACUUCUAAUUCUCUCAACACCGUGCGGGAGCAGCAGGCCCGGUGGGACCCCAUCGCACCCCUCUCUCCCUCCCCGCCUUCUGGAGGGGCAUGGACGCAGAGCCGUGUCCUCCCAUUGCUGAAUGUGGGGGUAACUGUGGGGUCGGCGAGAGGGGGCAGCUCACUGUGGCUUGUGGCGUGGCCCCCCAUCCUGUAGCUCUGGAAAUUCGACCCUGAGCCCCGGGGGCCGCCUGCUCCUCUCCUCCACUCCAUCAGAAGAGAAAAGACAAGAGCGGCCUCGGCUGGGCGAGGGCCCCUGGUACCCUGCCCUCAGAGCGGAGGGAAUGCAGCUUCAAGUCAGGAGAGCUCUGAAGAGGACCUGGGAGGGCAAGUGGUCCCUGCUGUGGCCCUAGGGGCCCCUGCUGUGGUUCUAGGGGUGUGGCUGCUCUGCCAGGCGUGGCUGGUCCUGACUUGCGACCUCCUCGUGAUGUGGCCCCUGCUGUGGUUCUAGGGACGUGGCUGCUGUGCCGGGCAUGGCCAGUCCUGACUUGUGACCUCCUCUGUGUGCUGGUUGCAGACGAUGAGCAUUUCCAGGGCUGGGCCUCUUGUUAGCGUGGUCUCUAGGGUGUCCCGUCGAACGCAUCUCCCAGUGGCCUGGCGUGCUGUGCAGGAAACAGAGGGGGACACAGCAGUCCUCACUGUGUAUCCACUGCAGCUUUGUGGCAUGGGGUGCUGGGGUGGGGAUCCCACCACCUGCCCGACUCUCCUCAUCAUGAAUGCACCGUGGUUGAACAAAUACAGCCCGGCCAUGGCAAUUUUGCACAAGAAUGGGAUGGUGGUCACAGAUUUCUGAAUUUAGAGAACCAUUAAACAUGCAGGCAGCAGGCACAGAGCAGCCGACACUCAGAGGGCCUUUGGGGAUGGUUCUGGAACAUUCUAGAAAAACUGAACUAGUUUCCUUGGAUUUGUAGGACCAGUAACCUUGGCUUGGGUGUUAAAUCAAACAGAUGGCAGUUUCAUUAGUAGACCACCAAUCUCUGACAUCCGUUUCAGAGGACUUGCUGUACUUCUCAUUUGAUUCCGUUGAACUUUGCUCUGCUUACUUUUAUUCCUUUUUCAGCAUUUCAGCAGUAGGCUGGCCUCCUCCCUGUUAAUAGUCAUUGUUCACCCAGUAGAAACCAUGAAAAGUGUCAUUUAGGCUCAGAACAUGGCUGCCCACAAGUUGUGCUGGGCUGGCGCUGACCUGGGGCCUUGAGGUGUGCGCUGCCUUCAUGUCUGCAAACAGCACAAAGAUGCCGACUUCACACAGACAAGAAGAGGAUGUGCCGCUGGCUGGCCGACGGCUGGGGACAGGAGGCUGUGAGCCCCACAUCAGCCGUGCCUGGAAGUGUGGGACGUGGCCUCUGGAGUGUUGCUGGUGUGACCCCCCUCACUCUUUUAAAGAGUCAAGGAUUCUAGGGACAGCCAUGGCGAUGCGGUCCCGCCUCCCGUGAAGCUCAUCCCAGCUCCCUGCAGUCCUUUCCUGGGGGCACUGCUUCCGGCCGGCUCGUUACUGGAGAAGGUGGCUGAGCCCAGGCAUCAGGAGGCGUUUUGCAGAGAACAGUCUCAGCUUGUCUUUGUUUUGGUUGUGGUUUAAAGACUGUUUCCCUCUGGUAUUUAGAGGAUGAAUCGAGAACUUUACCUUGGUUCUGAAUCGAGACUGGAAUCGUGAACAGUUAAUGACCAAAGGGAUUUGGUGGAUGUGCAUUUUCAGGCAGCCCAGGCCGGCGUGCCUCGGUGUUCUCAUCAGGAGAGCAUUUCUGCAGUCCAGACGUGUUCACACUCCGACUCCCUCCACCAAAACCCUCUGUUGGAAUCACUCCCAGGAGAGAGACCCACCCUGGAGAAGUCACGGGUGGAGACCCCAGACAUUUGGGGUCGGCCAGCUGAUCAAAGCACUUGAACACCUGCCUCCAGCGAGACCCCCAGGUCAUCACCGGGCUCACACCGCAUACCGGGAAGAUCAUCGGUGCUUCUGGAACUCUCUAGAACCCAGCGGCUGGUACGCGUUCCCGUGGGUGAGACUCCUCCUUUCCUGUGUUCCCAGGGCCUGGGUCCCUUUGAGGGUCACUGAUGGCAGAGCAGAAGCCCCUCCAGCCUCUACCCUCCACCCUCAGAGCCACAGGAUGGGCUCUGGGGAACCGCCAGACCCAGCCCAGGGAGCCGGCGCCACCUCCCCCAGCUCAGAUGGCUGUUGACAGGCUGUCUUUGUAGCGACUGGACAGUGUUCCAGAUGGACACUUCUCAUGGCGUGGAGAGCUGGGCGGAGCAUCCUCUUCCAGUGUUGGCUCCGCUGGCACCAGGGUGGGUUUCUGCAGGGCCUGUGGCCUGUCCAGGAUGCCUGGAUGGACUUGCCCAGCCCUGGGAGCAGCCAGUGUCAGGACGGCGUGGCCUCGCCUGGAGCUCCUUGGGUGCUGACAGCUUUACCCUGAGGCCAGCUAAGGAGCCCCGUGAAGCAAGGGACAAGCGAAGGCACCUGCUAGAAGUGGCAUGGGAUAGAACCUGCUGGAAGUGGUGUGGGACAGAACUGCGGGUGCCUCUGGUCUGUGUGCUGGAGCCAGCGUUUGCCUCGAUGCUGCAGCCAGGGCUUUGGUGACCCGGUCCCGGUGGCCGACUCGGUGCAGCUGCCCGUGCGCGAGAACUCGCAAGCGUGUUGGAGCAGGGGGGAGCUGGGUGACUGCACAGCCGUGUCGGGGAGGGGACGUCUGCGGAGAGCUGUGGCCGGGAGCCAGUGUGUGCCUUUCUGUGGUCAUUUCUCGAGUCCUCUGCUGGCCGCUGCCAGGUGAAGGCGUCUCCGUGCCCAGCUGGUGGGCAGGUGGGGCAGGUGGACCUUCAGCUUCUGCCUGAUGGGGUUCAGAUGACUGAGAUCCCACGGGAUUGCCAACAUGUGGGGACGGGGGCUUUCGGGGACAGGAAAACAUGCCCCCAUCCAUGGGAAGUGGAGCCACACAGCUCUAACCCAAGCGACUUUCUAGGAAGAUCUAAGGACACAGCCUGCCAUGGCGUCCUUGGUGGUGUGUGCCUGGCAUGUGCGCGGCGCUCUACAUGUUGGUGUGGAAUCACAGGAAUGUGCUGCUUUUCAGAAAGAGCGCCCCGCGGUGCCCUCGCCCGUCCUCGUCAGACGAAUUAGGUUCAAUGUCAGCUUUCUAUUCAGAGCGGGUGGUUGUGGACUUGUUGAGCUCCAGGGACCCAGAGCAGCAGGUGGGCUCAGGAGGGAAACAGGCAUCCCGCAUUCCAGAUUCUGGAAUAACCAGAAGUGCCAUCUGGCAGGGAAAGUGGCGUGUCGGGGGAGCCCACUCCCAGGCCAGAGACGUGUCCUGCAAUCUGCCCAACAGCCCAUCCCCUUUCCGGAAGGUCCCCAUCUUCACUCAGCCAGUCUUGUCUGCUGGAGCCUCCCCUAGUUGCUCAAAUCUUUAUUCCUGAGAUGAGUUUCUGAAGAUGGAGAAAAGUGGGAUUUCUAGCGAGGUUUGGGGCAUUUUACCAAAGGUGACUGCGCUCUGCUGGCGUCUGCGAGAGUCGGGAGAGCAGUCCACACAGGCCGCGCCUUCCGAGCUGCCAGACACCUCUUUAUGCAAAUGCCUGUUGGAACUGUAAUGUCAGUCGUAGAGAAAAUGAAGCUUUUCUUUUUUUAUUGGUCAAAAUGGGAUCUCUUGGCCGGGCGUGGUGGCUCAGGCCUAAAAUCCCAGCACUUUGGGAGGCCGAGGCAGGCGGAUCACCUGAGGUCAG